AGGCUCGGGCUUGCCGGGUAGCAGCUAUGGCUGGUGGUUGAAGCGUGUUCCUGCGGCCGCGGGCUGCUCCUGGCCAUCGUCGUCAUCCGAGGCCAUCGAGGGUCCCAGGCCGUGCUUGCCCUCUGCUGAGGCCGGGUCCAGGCUUCCAGUCAACUCGGAUCUCUUCAGUCCAAGUGCAGAUGCUGAGCACACCAGCCUCCACAGGGCUGUGGUCCAGAGACACUGUUUGUGAGGCUUGAGUUUCUGCAGUCCUAAGAGCGAGGUGCUGGCUGCCCUUUUGCCCAGAUUGUCUUUUCAAGGAUGUUCGAGUAGCAGACAGGCUUGGGAUGUAUGAGGUAGUGCCUCCCUUCAGAGCAGAGAGCAGUGUUUCAGCUGCAGAAAGCACAGGAUGCCAGAACUAGAAGAGACCUGAGAGAUGAUCCGUUCGGUGUCUGUCAGGCUGUCCAUGGAAUCUGCAGGGGUGUGGGCGCUGUGUUAUCUGCCUCCAGAAGAAGGAGCCUGGCUGUGCAUCAGGACCCAGCCCCCUCUGACAUUUCCUGAAUGAGGAACAAGGCAUAUAUAAUAAACAGAGUUUUAAAUGUGA